rnacentral:rRNA from 1 species
CGAAGCGCUACCGACGGAACUUUUCGGAGGGAAGAUGGUAAUGACUGAGUGGCGGACGGGUGAGUAACGCGUGGGUAACCUGCCUCACAGAGGGGGACAACAGCCGGAAACGGCUGCUAAUACCGCAUAACAAGGGAUCUCCGCAUGAAGGUUCCUUCAAAGAUUUAUCGCUGUGAGAUGGACCCGCGUCUGAUUAGCUAGUUGGCAGGGUAACGGCCUACCAAGGCGACGAUCAGUAGCCGGCUUGAGAGAGUGAACGGCCACAUUGGGACUGAGACACGGCCCAGACUCCUACGGGAGGCAGCAGUGGGGAAUAUUGCACAAUGGGGGAAACCCUGAUGCAGCGACGCCGCGUGAGUGAAGAAGUAUUUCGGUAUGUAAAGCUCUAUCAGCAGGGAAGAUAAUGACGGUACCUGACUAAGAAGCCCCGGCUAACUACGUGCCAGCAGCCGCGGUAAUACGUAGGGGGCAAGCGUUAUCCGGAUUUACUGGGUGUAAAGGGAGCGUAGGUGGCAGGGCAAGUCAGAUGUGAAAACCCGGGGCUCAACCCCGGGAUUGCAUUUGAAACUGUCCGGCUGGAGUG